rnacentral:lncRNA from 1 species
CUUUUUUUUUUUUUUUUUUUGCCAACAUCUGGACAAUGCAUCUGGAGCCAGCAUAUAGUCUUCUGGAAAUUCCAUUUAAAUUGACAAAGGGAAAUGAAUUUGGCUAGUAUAAAAACUGCCUCAUUUUGGCCCUCAUGCCAGUGGGAUAUCUGGCCAGAGUCUUCUGCAGCAGACAUCUCCCUGGGUUUCAGCAUGCCGCAUUAGUCCCUGUCCGGCCCACCAGAUCAUUCUCCAAGAGUGAUUGCAAGGUCUAUUUUGUAGGUUUGGAGAGCAACCCCCAAUCCUACACUCAGCAACCUCAGAGUGAUGAGGAUGGCAUUGCCAUUACCAAGGUACUACCAAGUUCCCUGCCCAGGCUGAGGCAGGAACAGUCAGGAGGCCAGGCAUCAGCACAUUCUUGGGUGUUCCCUACACCUUUCUCCUUUUCCUGGGGUCUCUGCUGCACAUACUCUUAACACAGGUUUUGUGCUGGCUUAUGCCUUGUAACUUUUGCCCAAAGCUCUUGCCUUGGGAAUAGUCAUGCCUCAUCCAUUCAUUCAUCCAUUCUUCCAUGGAUUUAUUCAAGAUGUAUUUAAUGAGCACCUGCUACAUAUCAGGCACAGUGUACAAUGCUAGAGAGAUAGCAGGGACAGAAAAGACAAACAUCCCUACCCUCGUAGAGCUUCCUUUCUAGUGGAGAAGGCAGAUUACAAAGAAAAUGAAGCAAUCUGUAGAGAAGGUAAUGAAAGCAGUGGAGAAAUAGAUGCAGGGAGGGGAUACAGAGUUCUAAGCUUGUGAUCCAGGAAGGCAGUCUAGAGGGCAGAUGUGAAGGAGAGGAGAUGAGCCAGAAGGAAUCCAAGACAAAAGGCAGGUGGCAGGGUGCUGGCUCCACUCCAAAUGUGUGUUCCGUGUUACCCCCUGGGGUGUGGGGUGCCUUGGAGGCAUUUGAGCAAGAAAGUGACCCAAUGGGUCUUACAUUUUAGCAGCAUUAUUCUGGCUGCUCUGAAGGGGAAGGGCAGAAGCAUGGGACCCAUAUUUGGAGGCUGAUGUAAUAAUCUGCUUGGAUCAGAAUGUAGAAGCGGGCAUGGUGGGGAGUGGUAGGAUUCUGAACACACUUUGAGGAGAAAGCAGACAAGCUUUUGUGAUGGACAUGAUGUGGGGUGGAGAGAAAGGGGAGAGUCAAAGACACCAGGUCUGGCCUGUGUGGUGGCUGGUGGCCAGGACAGCAUCACCUGUCUGCUACAGGAGACGGGGGAGCAGGUGGAGGCGGCCAUGUUGGGUGAAGGGCAUUAAGUCCUCACUGUGCAUCUUUUAGAAGCAAGGAAAGCAUCUUAGACACAGAAGAAGUGAUGUAUUCAAAAUGGCUUUAGCCAAAUAAUAUGCUGGCAUGUACACUUUCUCAGUCAACCCUUAAAAGUAUCUUAUAGAGUAGAUGCUUUUAUUAAUCAUUAUUAUAGUGAAAAUUAUUAUAUAUUUAAUUAAUAAUUAUUAUAAUUGUAUAACUAUAACUAUAAUAAUGAUACUUGUUAUAAUUAUUAUUUAAUUAAAAUAAUUAUAAUUUUAUAUGAUAGAUAAUUUUAUUUUUAUUGUUAUUACUAUAACUGCUACUACUACUAUUUGUAGAUGAAAAAAAUUAAGGCUCAAAGAAGUCAAAACACUAGCAUUAAGUUCUUCAGUUUAUGGCUACCAAUUUUUAAACUUGGGACUGUCUUUUUGCUCACUAAAUGUGGGUUGUAAAGGCUUAGAUGAGCCACAGGGACAGCAUUCUACAAAGGCAGUGCAAGUGAUUUUUGCUUUUGCUUUUGCUUUUUCCUGAAGCCAGUAACCACUUGCUUUUGUUACUCCUGGAGCUGUCUGCUGAGCCUUUAUCAUUUUUUUAUCCAUAGCUGUGAUGUAGUUGCCUUCUGUGUAGCAAGCUCCAUGGUUCUGGGGAUAUGAUGUUGUGCAAACACGAGUAUGCCCCUUGCCUUCUUGCAGCUUACUCUUUAUUUAUAGAAACAAAGAUAAAAUUACACCUGUGAUAAGCGCUUCAAAGGAGAGGAUCUGGGUGUGGUGAGGGUGUUUCAUGGAGGAAUGUGACUUAGUCUGGGGAAGAAAUGUUAAUUUACUGAGCCAAGACAAGUAGGAGCUCACUAGGCAAAGGGGGGAGGAAGGGAGUGUUCUGGGCAGAGAGGACAUGUGCAAAGGCUCCGGGGCAGGAAGAAACAUUGUGCAUCCUGCGUCCAUCCCAGGAACUUAAAGAAGGUCUGGGUCACAGAUGCUCAAGAGCAAUAAGAAGAGAACUGCAAAACAAAAGUUAGAGUUCCUCAUAGGCAGGACUAGACACCUAGAGCUUCUGGGUGACCAUAUAAUUUUUCAUCCAAACUGCCACACUUUUCAGAGUGCUUAAAUACUAAAUGGGGAGUUCCCAUUGUGGCUCAGCAGUUAACAAACCAGACUAGCAACCAUGAGGCCUCGCUCAGUGGGUUGGGGAUCCGGCCAUGCUAUGAGCUGUGAUGCAGGUCUCAGACAUGGCUCGGAUUCCAUUCCACAUUGCUGUGGCUCUGGCGUAGGUUGGCAGCUACAGUUCUGACUAGAGCCCUAGCCUGGGAACCUCCAUGUGCUGCAGGUGUGGCUGUAAAAAGACAAAAAGGCAAAAAAAUAAAAAUACUAAUUGGGAUAGUUUAUUGGCACUACUUUUGAGAACUAGGUCUGUCCUGGCCAAACUAGAGUCAUAGUCACACUAUUUAUGGGCCAGUUUAAGGAUUAUAGUCCUUAUCCUAAGAGCUAAUGGGAAAUAAUUACUGGUUUAGCAAAGUGGAAAGUGUCAGCAUAGUCAUAUCUGCAUUUUUAAGGAUCAUUCUGAGUUUAGUUAGGAGUAUUGUACCAACAUCCAUUUCCUAGAUGUUAUGUUUAUGGCUAUGUAAACUUUUAUCAUUGGGAAAGCUAAGUGAAGGGUACAGGGAACUCUGGGUUUUAAUUUUGCAACUUCCUUCCUUUGAGUCUAAAAUUAUUUCAAAAUGAAAAAAUAUAUAUAUUAAGUUUACUCUAGUUACUGAGAACAGAUAAGAGAUAUGCCAGUUGGAAACACAAAAUUGAGAGAGGAGGCUAGCUGGAUAGAUAUGGAGGUGUUGGAAAGAAGGGAACUGAAUCGAGAGAUACUGAAGAUAGGAGUUCCCUGGUGGCCUAGUGAUUAAAGAUUCAGCAUUGUCACUGCUGUGGCUCAGAUUCAAUCCCUGGCCCAGAACUUCUGCAUGCCAUGGGUGCAGCCAAAAGAAAAGUUACUAACCUCAGAGCUGCAGCCUGGGUUGAGUCUCUGGUCUGGAAACUGAGAUCCCACAUCAAGCUGUUGCACAGUGCAGCAAAAAAAAAAAAAGAGAGAGAGAGAUACUGAAAAUAAAAUGCCAACUGCUCUGGGCAUUGCAUUUUUUGUGCUCUUUCAGAUCUACCAGGAGGAUCCCUAGAAAAAUAAAAAGACAGGAGGCACAGGGACUGCCUUUCUAGUAUACAGUUUCUCUCUUUUUAACUUCAGACUUUGCUCUUCUAGGGCACUUGGAACAGUGGCUGGGAAAAGCAAAUUCAUUCAUUCAUGUUAUCAUUAUCUCUUCCUUCUAUCGAAAUGGAACGAUGUUUCCCAAAACCAAAGGCCACAGAAUGGGAAUUAUUGGGUUUGAAGUUACCACAGACAAAUAAUUAAAAUAUACCCCUCUCUUCUUUUUGUGGAAUAGAGAGAAGACAGUUAGAAGGAAAAAGUCGACUGUGCUUUCCUAGAUAAAGGAGAUGUACAGAGGGAUGCAUGCUCAAAAUAAACUGCUUCUGAAAAAAAAUAUGCUUGAAAGUUAUUAUUGGGAAAGCAUAUUUUUUUUUUUAUUACUUGGAACAAGAGAGGUUACUGAUACUGGAACACUUCUAACAAGAAAUAUGUUAGCAUUUACUUAUUUUUCCAUAUUUGCUUGCAUGGCUUUGGGGAUUUUCUCAACUUUAAUUCCUCUUUGUUAUGUGUCUUCUUAUUUCUUAUAAGUCUUUCCCAACAGGGCAGAAGUUUUCAGUCUUUAUAAGAUAAAUCACUGUUGCCGGAUAUUGAACCUCAUUCAUGAACUAUCAGCAGGAAAUUGUUGUCUGCAUUGUUUUUUAUGGCACGAGGUAGCUGAGUCAGGAAGACAAAGGGGUUCUUUUGCUUUGAGCAGCGUUAGGGGUGAUAAUUUCUCUUGAUUAAGGGCAUGCAGUACCUUGUGCAUGUUCCUGGUGGCCUCAGUGGCUGUGCUGGGUAUUUGGGGAUGUGGGAAAGUGAUGAUAUUGGCACCGUAUUACUGUAACAUUGUCUUCAUAGUUUCCAAGAAGUAUUUCCACCCAAAAACAAAGAUGGAGAUUUUGGGUUUUGUCACACUAGAUGAGUGAAAUAAAUAAAUGGAUAGAGAUUUAAAUGGUGGAACGAUCUCUAAGCAAUAUUCGCCAAAUAAACCUUUAUGUAAGAAUAGUCGCCUGCUUACUAAGUAAAUGGUUAUCUCUAAAAGUCAUUUCUUUGAAACUCAGAAUGGAUUUUUUACAGCUUCAUUGAGGAUUCUUGGCAAAUCAAAAUGGUCAUUAAUGAACUAAUUACUUAUUUGGUGACAACACUUAAUAUUACCCUCAUGGAGUUCUGGUUGUGGCUCAGAAUUGCUUGGGGUGCAGUAGGUUAAGAACUCAACAAAGUGUCAGUAAGGAUGCAGGUCCAAUCCCUGGCUUCUCUCAGUGGGUUAAGGAUCUGGCGUUGCUGCAAGCUGUGGCAGAGCUUGCAGAUGUAGCUCAGAUCUGGUGUUGCCACAGCUGUGGUGUAGGCAGCAGCUGCAGCUUCAAUUUGACCCCUAGCCCGGGAACUUC